AAUGAAAAAAUUAGUGGACUUCAAAGAGAACUUGAAUGGAGAAAAGCCCUAGUUUGUCCAACGAAUGUGACCCUGGAUCCAAACACAGCAAAUGCCCAGCUCAUCGUGUCUGAGGAUCGGAAAAGCGUGAGGCGUGGAAUUGCACGGCAGGAGGUGCCGGACAAUCCAGAGCGAUUCCAUUCUUUCUGUUUGCUGGGCUGUGAGAGGUUCAGCUCAGGGAGACAUUACUGGGAGGUGGAGGUGGGAGAUGGAGGGUUUUGGGCUGUGGGUGUUGCCAGAGAGUCUAUGAGGAGGAAGGGAGGGAUCAGAUUUAACCCUGAGCAGGGGAUCUGGGCUGUAGAGCGGUGUGGGGAUCAGUACCGGGCUCUCACCUCCCCAGAAACUCCCAUGCCCCUGAGUGAGAGACCUAGGAAGAUUGGGGUUUAUCUGGACUAUGAAGCGGAGUGGGUGGCAUUUUAUGAUACUGGUAAUGAGACCCUGAUCUUUACUUUCAUGUCAGCGUCUUUCACAGGGGAGACAAUCCUUCCCUUCUUCUGGGUGGGGAUUGGAGUCCUGCUCAGAGUCUGCCCCUGAGGCCUGGAGAUGCGGAGGUAGCAAUAUCCCACUGGGGUUCACUCUGGUUCUGGACCAGAAAUGGACUGAACUAGUUGUUGUCCUGGGGACAGCUCAGGUGGUUUAAAACACACUGCUGUGGUUCUAGAGAGGGGGAUUGGGGAGACAGAGAAGAUGUCAUGGGGGGGUUGUAGGGAGCAUAGGCACCGACUCUGUGGGUGCCGCAGGGCUUGAGCACCCACAGGGAAAAAUUAGUGGGUGCUCUGCACCCACCGGAAGCCAAGCUCCCUUCACC